rnacentral:rRNA from 1 species
CAGCAGUCGCCGCGGGAAUACGUAGGGGGCAAGCGUUGUCCGGAAUCAUUGGGCGUAAAGAGCGUGUAGGCGGCUCGGUAAGUCCGCUGUGAAAGUCCAGGGCUCAACCCCGUGACGCACUGGAAACUGGGAGACUUGAGUGCAGAAGAGGAGAGCGGAAUUCCACGUGUAGCGGUGAAAUGCGUAGAGAUGUGGAGGAACACCAGUGGCGAAGGCGACUAUCUGGGCCAACACUGACACUGAGGCACGAAAGCGUGGGGAGCAAACAGGAUUAGAUACCCCGGUAGUCCCUGUCUCUUAUACA